rnacentral:lncRNA from 1 species
ACUAUGUUGCUUCAGAAGCAGCUAAGUUCUUUCACUUGAUAUUUAUAUUACAAAUUUAUUUGAUGAAUUCCUACCGUCUUCCCAGGCAGUUCCACCCGAAGGGAACACUUCUCUACGGCCACAAGGUUCUCAUUCAAACGCCACACAUCGGCUAAAUAGAGAACUACCGACAGAGGUUUCUCCUAUAGGAUCCCUAGCGUAAGAACUCAUUUCAUAAAUUCAUAAUAUAAAAUCCAAGUAAAACCAGAAACUACUUCAUUUCGACAACAUAAUUUACAUACGGAUUUCCCUUUCGGGAGACCCCAAAGGGAUUACAAAGAGAAAAAGAGGACUACCUUCUGCCGACCUCCACCACUGGAUGAUACAAUGCCUCAAAGGCUUAUUACAAACUGGAGAUGGCUACUACCAACUACUACUACUGAGGAGAGUGAGGCAAGUGGUGAUCUGGUGCUUGCGAUGCUCUGGAGACUGGUGUUGUGUAGACUGCUGUUGUGUGUGUCUCUCCGCGCUUAGUCCUCCUCCUUUUAUAGUGCGCGAGGGAUGCUGGAUGCUCCCCUCUUUUAUUCUUCUGCGUCAUAGCUGGAGGCCGGGGUAUCUCAUAGCUUGACACGCCUUAUGCACCGCUGAAGUGCCUUAGUGUUUGCGACAUCAAGCGUUGCAUGACUCCGAUGCUAGACUGAUAUUUUUGUCUAGACUGAGAACUUUGUCCAGACUGUGAAUUUUGUCCAGACUGGAAUAUUUGUCUUGACCGCGAAUUUUGUCUUGACUGGAACUUUUGUCUUGACUGGAAUCUUUGUCUUGACAGAUGAUUUUGUCCAGACUGAAGCUCUUGUCUUCAUUGCAACUCUUGUUCUUGUAUGCACUGUGCUAUGAGUUAUCUAUGCACGGUUGAAUAUUGUCUUCAUGCAACUUGGAUGAACGGACCUGUCUUGAAUGAAGAC